GACAGAGGCCCCGAGCGUUAGGCGGAAUCACUGGGCUUAAAGCGUGUGUAGGCGGAUCGUUAAGUACCUUGUGAAAUCCCACGGCUCAACCGUGGAACUGCUGGGUAUACUGGCGAUCUUGAGCCACCUAGGGGCGAGCGGAACAAGCGGUGGAGCGGUGAAAUGCGUAGAUAUCGCUUGGAACGCCAAUGGUGAAAACAGCUCGCUGGGGGUGUGCUGACGCUGAGACACGAAAGCCAGGGGAGCGAACGGG
rnacentral:rRNA from 1 species